rnacentral:lncRNA from 1 species
AAAUCUCUAGGAUUGAAUCAAAAAGUUUGAAGUUCGAAUCUCACUAUAUGAUUAAGAAAGUAAUUUAAUAGUUAUUUGUGUUACAUUUAAAUUAAAAAAAAAUCUUAUCAUCCAUGUAUCGAACUGUUAACUUUUACCACCACUAAAAAAAAAAAAAAACUACUAUAACCCACAAAAUAUCACCACCCAUAACAGAAAUAGUGUUCCCCUAAGAUGACGUCAAUUAAUUUUUUCCUCCCCUCUUUUCACUAAUUCUAAUCUCUUUUUUUGUUUCCAAUUUCUGUGCGAACAUCAUCUUCCCACUUUGAGAAUCCAUGAAUUGCUUUGCUAAAUAAACAACUAUAUACCUAAUCAUAUUGACACAACAUUAGCUUAUAAUCCAAGUAAACUACCUCAAAAUCAUUUACAACUCAUAAUUAUUGCUUCGAUUUUCAUCAGCGUAUAGAAACUAAGAUUUUCCUUUUUUCUAUUCAUUUACAACUAAUAAUUAUAGCUUAUUAGAAUAAUGAUGCAAUAUAUCUUAAAACAUAUUUUCAUCUUAAAAUAAAUAAACCUUAACCUAUUGUUUUACAACAAUGAUAUUCUUACAACAAUGAGUACAAAGCUUAGUACAAUAAGGACCUUUUUUGCAUAUUCAAAAUUUUUAUGCGAUUUUCGAAUUUAUGGGUUUUAUUGAUUUUGAUAGAUUGGAGCAUUUUUCCUUCCAUCUCUUCUACAUCUAUUCUUAAAUUUUUUCAAAGUUUCAACUAUAUCUUUGUAAAGUUCUAAAUGAUUAUCUCAUUCAUAGAGAUCUAUAUGUAAAUUAAUUCCUGAAUUUGUAAUCAUUUGUCUCUUUUGAGUCACAGACCAAAUUUUUUCUUCCAAUAUAUCUAUGUAUAUUCCUAAUCUAUCUUCCCAACUUAGGUACAUCCUAUCAAAGCUUUCACAUAUAAAUUGUAAUUUGAGAUCUGCAUCUUGAAUCAAUAUUUCCAUAUUAUUAUUAUUAUCCAUUGUUUUAUGCUCGAUUUUGAGUUCUAUUAUUAGUCUUGCACCUGUCCUGGAUUAUUUCGAGGAUAGAUAAAAUUGAUUCUAUUAAUGCUGUCCAGUUCUCUUCUUCAAAUGAAUCGAAUAUUUCUGGAUCAUUAAUUCCUUUUAUUUAUUCAUACAAGUGUUUGCUUGUAGUUAAUCUAGUUUUAACCAUGGAAAUUGUAUAAGCAACUUGAUAUUCUUGACUAAAGUCUAAAUGAUCAAUUGCAUCUAGAAAUUUAUUAACAGAUCUUUUCAUUUUUGAGAAAUUGAGUUACUCUUAUCACUUCUUAUCUUAUAACAUCUCUGAAAACAAAUAAGGUCGAACAUGCUUCCGUUUGUUACUAAAAUAAAAGAAGAGAUUUCAAGAUUACUAACCAGUGUACUAUCUCUCGGAAUUCUGAGAUAGAUUCACCAAUUGCCUCCAACCAUAGAAAGGUUCAUGGUCAGCACUGCCAUAGCUCCACACAUCACACAAGACCACUUCAGUGACUAUUCCACACGGCCUAACGCAACACACAGUAGACUAGCCUAAUAGGAUAUGCCUAAGUAAUUUCUUUGCAGUUGUCUCUGGAAGAGUGCUUAGUAAUAUAAAAUCUUCUUCAUUUAGCACAAGUAUUGGCAUAUAAGGUUCUUGGUUAAUUUCUAAGAAUAUAAGAUAUAUGGAAGAUGAUAAUUUCACUCAAAAGAGCUUUAUUUAUUUCACAACUGAAAUUAUUUACAAAAGGUGGUUACAGAGAAUACAGAUGAAGGUGAAGGUUAGACAUGUGAUGUCCUUCCCUU